rnacentral:rRNA from 1 species
CCCCUAGACGUUCUGGGCUGCACGCGCACUACAAUAAUACGCACAGCGAGUAUCACCGAGCUCGAAAGGGCAAGGUAAACAAUAGAAAAGGUACUGUAAUGGUUAUAGAUCCUUGUAAUUAUUGAUCUUCAACGAGGAAUUCCUAGUAAGUAUGUGUCAUCAUCACGCACUGAUUACGUCCCUGCCCUUUGUACACACCGCCCGUCGCUCCUACCGAUUGAGUGAGCCGAUGAAACUGCCGGAUGUGGACUAUUCAUAGUCUGCAGAAGAUAUUUGAAUCGUAGCGCUUAGAGGAAGGAGAAGUCGUAACA